rnacentral:rRNA from 1 species
UACAGAGGGGGCAAGCGUUGUUCGGAAUUACUGGGCGUAAAGGGCGCGUAGGCGGCCCGUCAAGUCCCGUGUGAAAGCCCCAGGCUCAACCGGGGAACGGCGCGGGAAACUAGCAGGCUUGAGUUCGGGAGAGGGAAGCGGAAUUCCGGGUGUAGCGGUGAAAUGCGCAGAUAUCCGGAGGAACACCGGUGGCGAAGGCGGCUUCCUGGACCGACACUGACGCUGAGGCGCGAAAGCUAGGGGAGCAAACGGG